UUAAUUAUUUGUUUUCAGCCCUCUAGUUUAGGUUUUCCUUAUCAGUGUUUUAGAUGUAGUAUUUAUUUCAGCCACUAGGUGGCUUCACGUUCAUAUUUGUUACACAUUGAGUGGUGCGGCUCUCAAGGCUGACUUCGUUUAUUUCUUUCUAUUGUGUGCGUCCAAUGAACGUAAGUAAUAUUGUUGUUGGUUUAGUUCGGUUUCGUAAAUGUCUGAGAGCUGUAUUGUACUGUGUCUUGUCGAAUAUUAUGGUCGUUUAGUGCCGUUUACGUGUAUUAUUGAGAGCUAAAGGUUAGCCGUUAGUUUUAAGCUAUUGAGCUCGUUUAAUUGAUGCAGCCGUUACCGUUUCCAGUUGAAACGCAGGUUUAUUAUUAUUAUUUACAUUUUCAUAGUCAGAUAUUAGCCAGUUAUUAGUCUAUAGUAAUGUUUAAAGACAUUUAUUCAUUUCUGGAUAUUUGGUUUAUUUGUGAAAUGAUUUACAGACAAAUUCUCAUAAUUUCUCUUUGUUUAUCUUUGUAGAAAACCACACACCACACACAUACACACUCAUGUGAGCCCAUCAAAUGUGCCUUUAUAUGUAUGGCUGAACCUCACAAGUUAAUUAAAAGGAAGUAAAGCUCAAUUCUGGACUUGGACAUUCUUUUCUUUCACUAACUCACCUGGACAUAUAUAUCAGCUGUUCUAACCCGACACCCUGGAGUGAUUGUUUAUUCCAUACCCAAUAUAACCGAAUCAGCCUCAAUCUUCAUUAUAAUUCUGGUCCUUCGAGCCGGAUUAAGCAACCACUACAGUCAAUAUGUCAAGGUCAUAUGAGAGAAAUGUGAGAGAUGUAAACCGCCCGCAAAGAUCAAGGCAGACACCAUCAUAUCUCCAGAAUUAUGAGGUCAGCCAUACACCAAGGCACCACCCCACUGAAGAGGAGCAGCCAUCUUCAUCUGAAGUGCUCAGAUAUCUUAAAAGCAUGAGAGAGGAAAGCGACCAACUACGCAGAGAGGUCCAGCGUCUUACAGAUAUAAUCCAACAAUCUCCUGGACAGGCAUCAAAACCUCAGUCACAAUCCAAGCGCAGGGAAGAGGACACAUCUACUACACCAGCACCUACAAGUAAGCCGACGCCAUCUAGUGGCCACAUAAGCCCACGUCAGGCAGUAAGUGCCCCAUCGGUGAUUAAUUAUGUUCCUCCAACUCCACAAAGCCACCGACGUGACCACAUUGAGGACCUUGACCGCUGUUUGCAGGAAGUGGGAUUAAUCAGCGAAGAUGACACUUCCUCUGCAACAUCUCGAAGCUCAUCUCCCUUCUCCCAAGUCAAGCCUAUGGAUUUUGAUGUUGAUGAUCGUCUGGAACCAGAGUCGUCACAUCAAAGAAAGUGUAAAUCACACCGUAAAGCUUGUGAUAAAUCAUGUGAUAGCAAAAGGCCUCAUUUUAAAGCAGCAUCCAACUCUGAUGUCAAGUAUUAUCCCAACAAUGAGGAUGACUACGACCGCUAUAAUGAGCCCUAUCACCAUGAGGACAGAUCUCACCAUUACUAUGGUGUCUCUCCAUUCAAGUCAAGUCACCCAGACCACAGUGACAAAUAUGGCCCAAUGAGGCCCAACCGACCAAGUAGUCCAAGCGCUCGCCAUGAUAGCCGCUACUAUGGAACAGAGAGGGGACGAUCUUCUGAUUACAGGGAUCGCCAUGAUGAUUACCAGGCACCACGCUACGACUGUGACAGAGAGAGAGGUCGGGGAGACAGAUAUCCAUCUGACCGCCAACAUUCCCCCCACCUAGAUCCUUCCUUUGGUAAGUCCUCAGCGCUAGAGUACUACCAUGGUCCCAAACCAACUAUCCCUUACUUCAAAUCCGAGGACCCUCGUGAGUUUGCCAGAUUGAAACUAGCCCUCGACAACUUACUCCCAUAUGAUGCUCCAGAGCAUUUUAAGUUUCAAAUACUCACAGACCAUCUCAAAUGUGAAGAGGCGCUACUUAUAGCCGACUCAUACAGUAACAGUCCACUCCCAUUUACAGACACUAUAAGAGCGCUCACUGAGAUGUAUGGUCAACCACAGCAGCUGGCGCUGAAGAGGAUUUCUGAUUUAAUGGAUGGACCUAAUAUCCGACCUGGGGACAUUAAAGCAUUUAAGUCUUUUGCCCUUCAAGUUCGAGCCUUAGUAGGAAUGCUGCAGCAACUUGGAAACCAAGGAUGGACAGAACUGAGAUGUGCAUCACAUGUCUCUCGUCUCCUAGUGAAGUUGCCACAUGACCUAAGAGCACACUUUCAUAGAUUUGUGAACCCUGUUCAUACUCCAGUUCCAACCCUGCUUGAUCUAGCUGACUGGCUUGAGUACGAAGUACGAGUUCAAGUUAGUGGAGAUCAAUACAGCAGUACAUCUAGUAGAGAGAGACAAGCUCCACCCAAGAGCCGACGUCCUGACUACAAGUCUCAAAGAUCUACAGCGAUUCUACUUGGCAGUCAGUCUCCUCAGUCAAAGAUGAAAUCAGAUAGGAGUCCAGCUGUGAGAGAGCUCUCUCAGGACAAGCCAAAGAAAUACUGUCCUUUCUGCGAUACAGAGCUUCAUUAUUUGAACCAGUGCAGCAACUUCAAAAUCCUAUCAGUAGAGCAGAGGACAGAGUGGAUUAAAGCAAACAGACGAUGCUGGCGUUGCGGACGGGAACAUCAGGCUACCAGGUGCAAUCUCAAAGCCAAGUGCAAACAAUGUGAGAGGAAGCAUCUGGAUAUCCUGCAUGAGGUUAAUGCCAGCCAACUGAGCACAGCACCUGUCGAACCUCAACCACCUCAGCCGAGCACAUGCCUAGUGAGUUCUGUUUCAGAGACACUGUACGUUGAUCGGCCAGCCAGAAACAACCAAGUGUUACUCAAGUUGUGCCGUGUCAUACUCCAGAGCGGUCCAAAGGUACUGGAGACCUACGCAAUACUGGAUGAUGGAUCAGAGCGCACAAUACUCCUACAUGAUGCUGCUCUUAGCCUGGGUCUUCAAGGGAAGCCUGAAGAUCUCACACUUCGUACCGUCCGGCAAGAAGUCUGCACCAUUAACGGUGCCACUGUCUCCUUCUCAGUUGCUCCUGCUUCACAGCCUAGUAAGUCAUACCAGGUCAACAAAGCUUUCACAGCCAAACAGCUAAACUUAUCCUGCCAUACCUACCCAGUUGAAGUUCUGAAGGAAAAGUAUCGUCAUCUCAGAGACGUUCCACUGCCAUCCAUUAAAGGUGCCCAGCCAUUGCUGCUGAUAGGGUCAGAUUACCCACAUCUAGUUACGCCAGUGGAACCAGUACGUCUCGGUCCACCAGGUGGGCCUGCAGCAGUUCGUACCAGACUAGGAUGGACUUUACAAGGCCCCACAAGUCUGUUAUGCCAUCAACUGUCUCCACAACAGUGUCUCUUCACCAAGUGCAAUCCACCGGAAGCAGAGCUUCUAAGUCAUGUGGAAAAGUUGUGGCAGUUAGAUACACUGCCAUACAGGAGCGAACGGUUGAUUACCAGGUCAAGAGAAGAUUUGGAGGCAGUUCGCAUGCUAGAAGAUAAGACCACCAGAGUAAUGGUUGAUGGUGUGAACAGGUAUGCUACGCCAUUGUUAUGGAAACAGGACGUCCCACCUCUCCAUGCACCUAAAGAAGCUGUCUUACCACAGCUGCGUGGGACAGAGAAACGGCUGGUAAAAGACCCGGAGAAAGCUAACAUUUACUCCAGAGAAAUCUACAAGCUCAUUGAUGCUGGUUACGUCAAGCCUAUAACCCCAACCAAGGCAAAGGAGAGCAACUAUUCAUGGUUCAUUCCACACCACAUUGUUCAACACAAUGGGAAGCACAGAAUAGUCUUCAAUUGCUCCUUCAUCUUUAAUGAGCAGAGCAUCAAUAAUCACCUUCUUCCUGGGCCCACACUUGGAGCCAGUCUUCUGGGAGUACUCCUUAGGUUUCGAGAGCACCCCGUGGCUAUCAGCAGUGAUGUGAAGGGAAUGUUUCAUCAGGUGCGCCUGCUGGAUGAGGAUAAACCCUUCCUUCGUUUCCUGUGGAGAGAUGUUAAGGUGGACCAGGAACCUACUAUCUAUGAGUGGCAAGUGCUCCCUUUUGGUACAACAUGUAGUCCAUGUUGUGCCACCUUUGCACUACAAACCCAUGUCCAAAAACACACUGCACCAGAAGAGGAUGCCCGCCAAUCAGUAGAACGUUGUUUCUAUGUUGAUAACUGUCUGCAGAGUCUUCAGUCAGAGAACCAGGCCAAGCAGCUGGUGAAUCGACUGCACACAGUACUCAGGGAAGGUGGAUUUGAGCUCAGAGAAUGGGCCAGCAAUGUUCCUGCUGUCAUCAGACACCUACCCAAAGAAUCAAGGUCAGAGAGCAGCACACUUUGGUUCACACAACAAACAGCUAACCCUCAAGAACGCACACUUGGAUUGUUGUGGCAGUGUAAGUCAGACACACUCUGCUAUAAGCAGCACAACCAUGACUGUCUUGAACCAACUAUGCGCAACAUCUACCGUCUUCUUGCCCAACAAUACGAUCCUCUGGGAUACAUUAUUCCAUAUACAACCAGAGCUAAGAUCAUUGUACAGCGUCUUUGGGACAAGAAAAGAGGUUGGGAUGAUCCCAAUCUCCCUGAAGAUCUGCUCCAAGCUUGGAAGUCAUGGGAAGAAGAGCUUCCCCAGUUGUCCCAAAUCUCCUUACCCAGAUGCUACACUGACCACAACACAGAUCGUAGUACCAUCAGUCAGACCAUCCAUGUGUUUUGUGACGCAUCUGAACGUGCUUAUGGAUCAGUAGCGUACCUGCGUAGUGAUAACGGGGAUGGAAGGGUACAAGUUGCAUUCUUGACUGCCAGAUCCAGAGUUGCUCCAAAGAAGCAGCUAUCGAUACCUCGACUCGAGUUAUGUGGUGCUUUAACUGGAGCACAGUUAGCUUCAGUGCUGCUGAAAGAACUCACCAUCAAGAUCCAAAAUGUGAUGUACUGGACUGAUUCCACCACAGUACUCAACUGGCUCAAAUCCAAUUCCUGCAGAUAUAAAGUGUUUGUAGGUACAAGGGUUGCAGAGAUACAGGAAUUAUCAGAUAUCAAAUCCUGGCGCUACAUCGAUUCUGCUUCCAACCCAGCAGACGAUAUCACCAGAGGGAAAACCUUAGUCCAACUGACUGAAAAAAGUCGUUGGAAUCAUGGACCAUCCUUCCUCCUGCAGGCAUCUGACCAGUGGCCUGAAUCACCAAUUGACCACCUUAUGGAGGAAACGGAGGAAUUGAGGAACCCAGUAUUCUGUGGUUUAACUAACUUCCCACAACUAACUCUUCCUGACAUUCAGCAGUUUAACACCUUUCAAGAGCUCCUAGAAGCAACUGCAAGAGUACUCAAUGGAGAGGCUAGUGACAAGUCUCCCACUGCUGAUGACUAUCACAAGGCUGAGUUAGCUCUUUUCAGACAGGCUCAGGUUGAGAGCUUCCCAGAAGAGAUGAUGUUACUCAAAUCGGGAAAAGCUCUUCCAUCUACCAGUAGAGUGCUCACACUCGCCCCUGAAUAUGAUCAGACCUCAGAUCUAAUCCGUGUUGGAGGUAGGCUCCGCCGAUGUGAAAGUCUAGGCCCAGAUGUGUGCCAUUCCAUUUUACUCUCGUCCUCUCACCCUGUCUCCAAACUCCUGAUCCAACAUUAUGACAAACAGCUAAACCACCCUGGAGCAGAGCGUGUUUUUGCUGAGCUGCGAAGAAAAUACUGGCUACUUAGAGGGAGAGAAGCCAUCAGGAAGCACCAGCAUAACUGUGUGGACUGCAGGAAAUGGCGAGGCAGCCCUCAAGUCCCAAGGAUGGCAGAUCUUCCACCCUCCAGUUUGAGGCUUUACAAACCGCCUUUCUAUUCCACAGGGGUAGACUGCUUUGGUCCAAUGAUGAUAAAGGUGGGACGUCGCAACGAAAAGAGGUGGGGCAUCCUGUAUAAGUGCCUUACCACCCGAGUUGUCCAUCUAGACCUCCUCCCAAAUAUGGACACCGAUUCCUUCCUAAUGUCACUCAGACGUUUUAUAUCUCGAAGAGGAAAGCCUCACGAGAUCCUUUCAGACCAGGGAACUAAUUUCAAAGGUGGAGAUAAAGAACUUAAAGAAGCCUUCAGUGCCCUGGAACAAGCAUUGAAGGACCAACUUGCUGCUCAACAGAUUCACUUCCGCUUUAAUCCCCCAAAUGCUCCGCAUUUUGGUGGGUCGUGGGAGCGAGAGGUUAGAUCAGUAAAGAACGCUCUCCGGAUCGCUCUUGGAGUUCAGUCAGUGCCAGAGGAGGUGUUGAGAACAGUCCUCAUUGAAAUAGAGGGUAUUCUCAACUCCAGGCCCUUGGGCUAUGUUUCAUCUGAUCUGGCUGAUCCAGAUCCAGUCACGCCCAACUGUUUGUUGAUGGGGCGGCCGGACUCCUCCCUUCCACAAGUGGUCUAUCCCGAGUCUGAACUUUUAAGUCGAAAAAGGUGGCGACAUUCUCAGGUUUUAACAGAUCACUUCUGGAAACAUUACAUCCGCCACUUUCUUCCGACAUUACAAGCCAGACAGAAAUGGCAAACAGAAAAGGAUGACAUCACUGUAGGCACUAUAGUGCUGAUUGUUGACCAACAGACACCAAGAGCCCUCUGGCAAGUAGGAACAGUGACAAGUGUCAUACCUGGAGCAGACGGACGCGUGAGGACAGCUGUGAUUCAAGUUAAAGGCAGGACCUACACUCGGCCAGUUGUUCGCCUCAUAAAGCUGCCUGCUCUACCUCCAGAUGAUUAAGACACCUACUGGUCAAAUUUGAGUGUCAAAUUUGGGGGCGGCUGUACAAAAGACUGUUAAUUAUUUGUUUUCAGCCCUCUAGUUUAGGUUUUCCUUAUCAGUGUUUUAGAUGUAGUAUUUAUUUCAGCCACUAGGUGGCUUCACGUUCAUAUUUGUUACACAUUGAGUGGUGCGGCUCUCAAGGCUGACUUCGUUUAUUUCUUUCUAUUGUGUGCGUCCAAUGAACAAAACCACACACCACACACAUACACACUCAUGUGAGCCCAUCAAAUGUGCCUUUAUAUGUAUGGCUGAACCUCACAAGUUAAUUAAAAGGAAGUAAAGCUCAAUUCUGGACUUGGACAUUCUUUUCUUUCACUAACUCACCUGGACAUAUAUAUCAGCUGUUCUAACCCGACACCCUGGAGUGAUUGUUUAUUCCAUACCCAAUAUAACCGAAUCAGCCUCAAUCUUC